AAAACCGCACAUUGCUACUGCAUGCUAACAUGACGGUCAUCUGCUUUGGAGGCUCUUUGAAGCGGCUGUCAAUCACAGAGCUGUUUGUUCUUCUUGACAGAAAGUUUAAACGUCUAACAGCAGAUCCUGCUGCUGAUCAGCUAUGUGAGCGAUGAAGAGGAAGUUAAGGAGCAGCACUAACUGUUGAGUCCUGCUCUUCCCCUCAGACAACCAGACAAUCACAAGUCCCAGCCUUGUAGGCGCGAUGGCGUCCCCCUUUUUCCUCGCCCUAACGGGAUUAGUCGUGCCAGUGCUACCCCGGCUGUCACGGUACUGUCUACUUCCCAUCUCUCUUCUGGGCCUCUAAUGUGAUUAACCCAUUCCCUGUGGUCCAAAUGGUUCUGGAGGGUGGGUAGA